rnacentral:rRNA from 1 species
UGAGCCAAGUUUAGGGUUUUUUCAAAACCCAAGCAGUAUUGAACUGAAGAGUUUGAUCAUGGCUCAGAUUGAACGCUGGCGGCAGGCCUAACACAUGCAAGUCGAGCGGAUGAAGGGAGCUUGCUCCUGGAUUCAGCGGCGGACGGGUGAGU